rnacentral:rRNA from 1 species
GACGAACGCUGGCGGCGCGCCUAACACAUGCAAGUCGAACGGAGCUGAGAGAAGCUUGCUUUUCUUAGCUUAGUGGCGAACGGGUGAGUAACGCGUGAGUAACCUGCCCUGGAGUGGGGGACAACAGUUGGAAACGACUGCUAAUACCGCAUAAGCCCACGAUCCGGCAUCGGAUUGAGGGAAAAGGAUUUAUUCGCUUCAGGAUGGACUCGCGUCCAAUUAGCUAGUUGGUGAGGUAACGGCCCACCAAGGCGACGAUUGGUAGCCGGACUGAGAGGUUGAACGGCCACAUUGGGACUGAGACACGGCCCAGACUCCUACGGGAGGCAGCAGUGGGGGAUAUUGCACAAUGGGGGAAACCCUGAUGCAGCGACGCCGCGUGGAGGAAGAAGGUUUUCGGAUUGUAAACUCCUGUAGUUAGGGACGAUAAUGACGGUACCUAACAAGAAAGCACCGGCUAACUACGUG